CGCUCUUGACAAAACAUAAGAGGUCCAGCCUGCCCAGUGACAAAGUUCAACGGCCGCGGUACCCUAACCGUGCGAAGGUAGCAUAAUCACUUGUUCUUUAAAUGAGGACUCGUAUCAACGGCACUACGAGGGCUAUACUGUCUCCUUUUUCUAAUCAGUGAAACUGAUCUCCCCGUGAAGAAGCGGGGAUUAAAAUAUAAGACGAGAAGACCCCAUGGAGCUUUAAACUCACCAUGCACCUCUGUGCUCUUAUACCCUUAGACACACCAGACCUGCAUGCUAGUUUUAGGUUGGGGUGACCACGGAGUAUAACUUAACCUCCAUAGCAAAUGGGCUAAUACCCUUAUCCAAGAGACACAACUCUAAGAAUUAUUAAACUAAUGCUUACGACCCGAUAUUCGAUCAAUGAACCAAGUUACCCUGGGGAUAACAGCGCAAUCUACUUCAAGAGCCCAUAUCGACAAGUAGGUUUACGACCUCGAUGUUGGAUCAGGGUAUCCUGGUGGUGCAGCCGCUACCAACGGUUCGUUUGUUCAACGA
rnacentral:rRNA from 1 species